rnacentral:lncRNA from 1 species
GAGAUUCUUCUUUCUUUAGAAUAUGCUUGGAUGAUAAGUCACUAUAAUCAUCAAAAUUUUAAAGAGUUGCACACCAAAUUUUAUCGCUAACAGUUAACAUACAAUGGUGCCCUCAUUGUGCUAAAAUCCUGGGUCCGCAUCUGUGUGUAUAUUUACACGCACACGCAUAGACAUGCUCACAUAAAUAGAAAAGCCUCUAAAUUUUAAAGGAAGAAAGUAAAAGGGAUACCUCUCUACUCUCUAGUGUAUGGCAUGGCGGAGAUGAUGAAAUCAAGCAUUUCAUUUUUUAUUUGUUCUGGUAUCACUGGCCUGACUAAUCCAGAUGUGCGCCACAUAAAGGAGAAGGUUUGCCAUUUUCAGCAAGAUGCAUACCUCUCUUUGUAGGAAAUUGAUGUUUUCUUCAUAGAAAGAAAGCUCCCCUUUUUCUGUAUAAUACAUGGACAGGAGAAGAUGAUGCACUUAUAUCCGUUGAAAAGAAAGGGACACUCGGCUAUUUUUGAGUUGAGACUAGCCUUUCUUCCCUUAAACAACACGCAAAUAAAAAUAUUUUUUAUAUAAAGGAUUAAUCCGCAUUCUCUUGUUCUUACCUCAAUUUCAGAUAAGAGGGAUUGCUCUGAUGGUAAGCAACUCUCACUUUCCACUGAGAUAUUAUCAGUUCGAGUCUUCCCAAAAGCUCUCUACUCCAAGG